rnacentral:rRNA from 1 species
UGCCAGCAGCCGCGGUAAUACGAAGGGUGCAAGCGUUAUUCGGAUUUACUGGGCGUAAAGCGCGCGCAGGCGGAUGUGCAAGUCAGAUGUGAAAUCUCGGGGCUCAACCCCGAAACUGCGUCUGAAACUGCUCAUCUAGAGUAUCGAAGGGGGAAGUGGAAUUUCGCAUGUAGGGGUAAAAUCCGUAGAGAUGCGAAGGAACACCAGAGGCGAAGGCGACUUCCUGGUCGAUUACUGACGCUGAGGCGCGAAAGCGUGGGGAGCAAACAGGAUUAGAUA